AGAACGAACGCUGGCGGCAGGCUUAACACAUGCAAGUCGAGCGCACCGCAAGGUGAGCGGCAGACGGGUGAGUAACGCGUGGGAAUCUACCCAACCCUACGGAAUAACACAGGGAAACUUGUGCUAAUACCGUAUACGCCCUACGGGGGAAAGAUUUAUCGGGGUUGGAUGAGCCCGCGUUGGAUUAGCUAGUUGGUGGGGUAAUGGCCUACCAAGGCGACGAUCCAUAGCUGGUCUGAGAGGAUGAUCAGCCACACUGGGACUGAGACACGGCCCAGACUCCUACGGGAGGCAGCAGUGGGGAAUAUUGGACAAUGGGCGAAAGCCUGAUCCAGCCAUGCCGCGUGAGUGAUGAAGGCCUUAGGGUUGUAAAGCUCUUUCAGUGGGGAAGAUAAUGACGGUACCCACAGAAGAAGCCCCGGCUAACUUCGCGCCAGCAGCCGC
rnacentral:rRNA from 1 species